GUGUCUCUCUUAAGAAGGUUCUAGGAGGAUAGAGAGGUGUAAUUGGGAGUGAGUUGCGAGUUUAGAGAGAGAGACUAAAACAAGGUGAGCAUUGCAGAGAAGGAAGAUGAGCAAAUCCUGAACAGAAGGGAGCCCCAAUGAAGGCCCUCACACCGACACUCCAAAUCUCCCCCUUUCUCUCAUCCUCCUUUCUCUCCAACCCAACAACCUCUCUCUACCCCAAAAAACCCUCACUUCCUCCUCUAAACGCCUACACUCUCUCACUCAUCAGACCUCUUAGAGCCACAAGAAAGCACAAUGCCCAACUUUCAUUAAAAGCCCAACAGUCUUCAACUGAAGUAAGUGGAACAGAAGCCAAAGGCAUAACAGUUCCACCGAAACAAAAGGCAUGGUUUUAUGAAGAUUAUGGGGGUGGUGAGGUGCUGAAGUUCGGGGAACAAGUGGAGGUGCCUGAGAUAAAGGAAGAUCAGGUACUUUUGAAGGUUGUGGCUGCAGCUCUCAACCCUGUUGAUGCCAAGAGGAGGCAAGGCAAAUUCAAGGCCACUGAUUCUCCUCUCCCUACUGUCCCAGGCUAUGAUGUGAGUGGGGUGGUGGUGAAAGUUGGGAGCCAAGUGAAGGGUUUAAAGGAGGGAGAUGAAGUUUAUGGAAACAUCAAUGAGAAAGCUCUUGAAGAUCUCAAGCAAUAUGGUUCUUUAGCCCAAUUCACAGCUGUUGAGGAGAAACUAUUGGCUUUGAAACCCAAAUCCAUAGACUUCUUGCAAGCUGCUGGCCUCCCUCUUGUUAUCGAGACCGCAUAUGGAGGCCUUGAACGAACAGGAUUCUCUGCCGGCAAGUCGAUCCUCGUCUUAGGUGGGGCUGGAGGAGUUGGAACCAUGGUUAUUCAGCUAGCCAAACAGGUCUUUGGUGCUUCGAAAGUUGCAUCCACUGCAAGCACCAAGAAAUUGGAGCUAUUGAAGAGCUUGGGUGUUGAGGUUGCCAUCGAUUACACUAAGCAGAACUUCGAAGAUCUGACUGAAAAGUUCGAUGUUGUAUAUGAUGCUGUUGGACAAUGUGAGAGAGCUGUUAAGGCUGUGAAAGAAGGCGGAAGCGUGGUGGCAUUAACAGGGGCCGUGACCUCGCCGGGUUUCAGAUUUGUGGUGACAUCUAAAGGGUCAGUUUUGGACAAAUUAAACCCAUUUUUGGAGGCUGGAAAAAUCAAACCAGUCGUCGACCCUGCUGGACCCUUCCCCUUUUCGAAAGUUCCCGAUGCCUUCUCUCAUCUUGAGACAGGCAGAGCCACCGGAAAAGUUGUCAUUUAUCCGAUCCCUUAAUCUCUCUCUCUCAAUUCACAAAUAUAAUUGCUAACAUGUGAUCUUUCUCUGUUAGGAAGUCCUUGAGGAUGCAUGGUCACGGGGACAAUGGGAUUGCCAAUAUUUAAGUUUCAUUCACCAACUCCUAAGUUGGUUUCUACCAAGGAAAUAAGGUCCCAUUUGUACGUUGGGAUAACCCUUUUUCAUCCAUGAAUUGGAGAAAAACAGUGUCCUUGUAUUUGUUUUUCACCAAUAGCGACAAAAAUACGGGGUUUUAUUUUUCUUUUGA